rnacentral:rRNA from 1 species
GAUGAACGCUGGCGGCGUGCCUAAUACAUGCAAGUCGAGCGAACACACGAUGAGCUUUCUCCUCUAACGUUAGCGGCGGACGGGUGAGUAACACGUGGAUAACCUACCUAUAAUACUGGGGUAACUUCGGGAAACCGGAGCUAAUACCACAUCAUAUAUUGAACGGCAUGGUUCAAUAGUGAUAGACGCCUUUGCUGUCUCUUUGAGAUGGAUCCGUGUCGCAUUAGCUAGUUGGUAAGGUAACGGCCUACCAAGGCAACGAUGCGUAGCUGACCUGAGAGGAUGAUCAGCCACACUGGAACUGAGACACGGUCCAGACUCCUACGGGAGGCAGCAGUAGGGAAUCUUCCGCAAUGGGCGCAAGCCUGACGGAGCAACGCCGCGUGAGUGAUGAAGGUCUUCGGAUCGUAAAACUCUGUUAUUAGGGAAGAACAAAUGUGUAAGUAACUAUGCACGUCUUGACGGUACCUAAUCAGAAAGCCACGGCUAACUACGUG